UGGGGAAUUUUUGCACAAUGGGGGAAACCCUGAUGCAGCGACGCCGCGUGAUUUAGAAGGCCUUCGGGUUGUAAAAAUCUUUUCUAUGGGAAGAAAAUGACAGUACCAUAGGAAUAAGGACCGGCUAAUUACGUGCCAGCAGCCGCGGUAAUACGUAAGGUCCGAGCGUUGUCCGGAAUCAUUGGGCGUAAAGGGUACGUAGGCGGGUAAGCAAGUUAGAAGUGAAAUCCUAUAGCUCAACUAUAGUAAGCUUUUAAAACUGCUCAGCUUGAGGUAUGGAAGGGAAAGUGGAAUUCCUAGUGUAGCGGUGAAAUGCGCAGAUAUUAGGAGGAAUACCGGUGGCGAAGGCGACUUUCUGGCCAUAACCUGACGCUGAGGUACGAAAGCGUGGGUAGCAAACAGG
rnacentral:rRNA from 1 species